rnacentral:misc_RNA from 1 species
GAUGAAGAACGUAGCGAAAUGCGAUAAGUAAUGCGAAUUGCAGAAUUCCGUGAGUCAUCGAAUCUUUGAACGCACAUUGCGCCCUUUGGUAUUCCGAAGGGCAUGCCUGUUCGAGCGUCAUUAUCAACCCUCAAGCCCGGCUUGCUGUUGGGUCCCAUCGUUGAAAACAUGGUGGACCCGAAAGAUAAUGGCAGAGCCCGCGUGGACCCUGGAUGCAGCGAGCUCUUUAGCACGCGUCUGGGCGGUUCUCCGGCUCGGUCUCAACCGAUUACUUUUCUCAGGUUGACCUCGGAUCAGGUAGGGAUACCCGCUGAACUUAAGCAUAUCAAUAAGCGGAGGA